GAUGAACGCUGGCGGCGUGCCUAAUACAUGCAAGUCGAGCGAACAGACGAGGAGCUUGCUCCUCUGACGUUAGCGGCGGACGGGUGAGUAACACGUGGAUAACCUACCUAUAAGACUGGGAUAACUUCGGGAAACCGGAGCUAAUACCGGAUAAUAUAUUGAACCGCAUGGUUCAAUAGUGAAAGACGGUUUUGCUGUCACUUAUAGAUGGAUCCGCGCCGCAUUAGCUAGUUGGUAAGGUAACGGCUUACCAAGGCAACGAGGCGUAGCCGACCUGAGAGGGUGAUCGGCCACCUUGGAACUGAGACACGGUCCAGACUCCUACGGGAGGCAGCAGUAGGGAAUCUUCCGCAAUGGGCGAAAGCCUGACGGAGCAACGCCGCGUGAGUGAUGAAGGUCUUCGGAUCGUAAAACUCUGUUAUUAGGGAAGAACAAAUGUGUAAGUAACUAUGCACGUCUUGACGGUACCUAAUCAGAAAGCCACGGCUAACUACGUG
rnacentral:rRNA from 1 species